AGCAGCCGCGGUAAUUCCAGCUCCAAUAGCGUAUAUUAAAGUUGUUGCAGUUAAAAAGCUCGUAGUUGAAUUUCGGGGUUAGUAGGUUGGUCAUGCCUCUGGUAUGUACUGGUCUCACUGAUUCCUCCUUCCUGAUGAGCCGUAAUGCCAUUAAUUUGGUGUUGCGGGGAAUUUGGACUGUUACUUUGAAAAAAUUAGAGUGUUUAAAGCAAGCUAACGCUUGAAUACAUUAGCAUGGAAUAAUGAAAUAGGACGUUCGAUCCUAUUUUGUUGGUUUCUAGGAUUGACGUAAUGAUUAAUAGGGAUAGUUGGGGGCAUUAGUAUUCAAUUGUCAGAGGUGAAAUUCUUGGAUUUAUUGAAGACUAACUACUGCGAAAGCAUUUGCCAAGGAUGUUUUCAUUAAUCAAGAACGAAAGUUAGGGGAUCGAAGACGAUCAGAUGCCGUCGUAGUCUUAACCAUAAACUAUGCCGACUAGGGAUCGGAUGAUGUUAAUUUUUUAAUGACUCA
rnacentral:rRNA from 1 species